CUGUGCUGUGGUUUGUUCCACCUGUGUGUGGUCUGGUUCUACUGGUUCUACUGGUUCUACUGGUGAGACGAUGUGUUCAGAGGAAACCUGAAGUUGCUGAAUUAAAAGUUGGAGAAGAUGACAUCACUGAUGAAAUCACAUACAGUCAGCAGCCAAUCAGAUGGAGUGGAGGGUAUUAUUCAGUUGUAGUUUACUCAGCAGUGAAAACAACAGAAGACGUCAGUGAUGGACAAAGAGUCGUCAAAUCAAACAGGAAGAGAGAUUAUGAUCCAGCUGCAGCUCACUCAGUAGUGAGAAGAGCAGAGAGGAGAGAGUGUCUCCAUUAGAGCCAGAGGUUGUCUACUCUUCACUGAGGUAGACCUCCACACCUUCACACCAGUCCAACCACUGACGUCCAGCUGGCCUGUUACUGGUCUCCAGAGCCCCUCAGACAGUAGUACAUUCAUUUAUAGAUUUCAUAUACUUCAUGUUGU